rnacentral:rRNA from 1 species
GAAAACUCCGCAAUGCACGAAAGUGUGACGGGGCUACCCCGAGUGCUGUCCGCUGAGGAUGGCUUUUCUCUGGUGUAAGGAGCCGGGGGAAUAAGGAGAGGGCAAGUCUGGUGUCAGCCGCCGCGGUAAUACCAGCUCUCCGAGUGGUAGGGAUGCUUAUUGGGCUUAAAGCGUCCGUAGCUGGCUCUCCAAGUCUCUCGUUAAAUCCAGCGAUUCAAUCGUUGGACUGCGGGAGAUACUGUUGGGCUGGGGGGCGGGAGAAGCCGACGGUAUUUCCGGUGUAGGGGUAAAAUCCUAUAAUCCCGGGAGGACCACCAGUGGCGUAGGCGGUCGGCUAGCACGCGCCCGACGGUGAGGGACGAAAGCUGGGGGAGCAAACCGGAUUAGAUACCCGGAUAGUCCCAGCUGUAAACGAUGCGGGCUAGGUGUUGGAGCGGUCACGAGCCGCUUCAGUGCCGCAGGGAAGCCAUUAAGCCCGCCGCCUGGGGAGUACGGCCGCAAGGCUGAAACUUAAAGGAAUUGGCGGGGGAGCACCACAAGGGGUGAAGCUUGCGGUUUAAUUGGAGUCAACGCCGGGAACCUUACCGGGGGCGACAGCUGAAUGAAAGCCAGAUUG